AAUUUUUGUUGGGGGAUUGCCUCCAACACUGACUGAAGAAGGAUUUAAAGAGUACUUUGAGGCUUAUGGCCAUGUAACUGAUGUAGUAGUCAUGUAUGAUCAAAAUACUAGGCGUCCGCGAGGAUUUGGAUUUAUAUCUUUUGAUACUGAAGAAGCUGUUGACAGAGUUUUGCACAAGACAUUUCAUGAUUUGAAUGGUAAACAAGUAGAAGUUAAGCGUGCCCUUCCCAAAGAUGCCAAUCCAGGUGCAGGUGGCCGUUCAAUGGGUGGUGGUGCUGGUAGUGGUGGUUAUCAAAGUUAUGGGUCAUCUGGUGGUGUCAAUUCAAAUUCUUAUGAUAAUCGUAUGGAUUCCAAUAGGUAUAUGCAAUCUCAGGGCUCUAGUGGAGGUUUCCCACCUUAUGGUUCCUCUGGAUACAAUAAUCCUGGGUAUGGGUAUGGUUCAUCAAACAAUGGUAUGGGAUAUGGUGGUUAUGGAAAUUACAGUGGUUCAAAUACUGGGUAUGGUGCCCCUGCAGCAGUAGCCUAUGGUAACCCAAAUGUCGCCAAUGCUGGUUACGGGAGUGGUCCUCAAGGUGGACCAAGAAGUUCUUGGUCAGGUCAAGCUCCCUCUGGGUAUGGAGCCAUGGGUUAUGGGAAUGCAGCUCCUUGGGGUGGUGCUCCCGGGGGCAAUGCUGGAGCUGGCAGUGGAGGACCUGGAUCUGCACCCACGGGUCAUUCUCCUGGUGGAGCUGCUGCUGGGUAUGGCAAUCAGGGUUAUGGAUAUGGUGGGUUUGGGAAUCAAGGUUAUGGUUAUGGUGGGGGUGAUGGCUCGUACGGAAGUCAAUCUGGUUAUAGUACAACCGGAGGACGAUCUGGUAGUGCCUCAAAUAGCAAUGUUGGGGGUGGUCCAAGUGGGGGAGAAUUACAGGGCAACAAUGCUUACAUGGGUAAUGGCUAUGGGGAUGCUAAUGGAAACACUGGUUAUGGAAAUGCUGCAUGGAGAUCUGAUGGAGGACAAGUAGGUUAUACGGGUGGUUAUGCUGGUGGACAAGCUCGACAAGCCCAACAACAGUAAUUUGAUGAUCAAAAGUGAACUGGAUUUUGCCAUGUUCUGUGUAUCCCUGUUUGUUUUAUGAGAAUUGAGAUCGAUGUUUCCAGUUGCUUAUUAAAAAAAGUUUUCUUGUUCCUGACUGAAGCAGUGGCCCAAUUUGGAACACAAUGAGCCUGGUGGGGUUGCUUGAAUCCAAGUAGCUUGCAGUAUUAAUUUUUCUAGUCUAAAAUAAGUAGCUGUUUUAGAAGUUUAUUGAUGCUUCAGUUAUUUAGUAUUUUGUUGCCGAACGUAGUUAAAUUUGAUCUCUUUAUGAAUGUCUAUUUAGCUGUCUGGAAUCAAUUUUCAUCUUUUCACAUUGUUUGAGCUGUAACAAUUUGUAGUCCUUUCCCAUUAUCAGU
rnacentral:misc_RNA from 1 species